UCUUUUUUUUAUGAAACAAAGACGAUGAAAAAUAACUGAUUAACUGGAUUUGGUGUAAUAAAGUGGGAGAUUUUAUUUUUUAAGCCAUAUCGCCCAGCCCAGAUCAGACCCCUUACACACAGAGACUGCGCCGGUCUUUCUAUGGACUGGACCGCUCAGCUGGGGAGAAAUGCACACACCUCCAUAUUGUGUGUUAACUGGUGGAUACGGAAAAAGUAGGAUAAGAAGAGCGGGGCCUCCUGCCCUUCCUUACCUUGGGAAUCUGAUGGAUGUUGAAGAGCUGGGGGAGAUUUAAGCCCAGCAGGUCUGUGGGCAGUCUGAUGGCGCCUCUCCCUCUCUGACACACCUCCCUGAGCCGGGCACGCCCCCGGCGACAGAAGACCAGCCACACAGGGUAGUCGAACGCCGGGAUUCUGGUCCCUCGGUCUCCGCUAUCCGGCUCCCAUCUCAGGCAGCGGCCCCAGCCCUGGCUCCACCCGACG